GAAAUGCGAUAAGUAAUGUGAAUUGCAGAAUUCAGUGAAUCAUCGAAUCUUUGAACGCACAUUGCGCCCGCCAGUAUUCUGGCGGGCAUGCCUGUUCGAGCGUCAUUUCAACCAUCAAGCCCCCGGCUUGUGUUGGGGACCUGCGGCUGCCCGCAGGCCCUGAAAAACAGUGGCGGGCUCGCUGUCACACCGAGCGUAGUAGCAUACAUACUCGCUCAGGGCGUGCUGCGGGUUCCGGCCGUUAAACGACCUUCAUAACCCAAGGUUGACCUCGGAUCAGGUAGGAAGACCCGCUGAACUUAAGC
rnacentral:misc_RNA from 1 species